AUUGAACGCUGGCGGCAUGCCUUACACAUGCAAGUCGAACGGCAGCACGGGUGCUUGCACCUGUUGGCGAGUGGCGAACGGGUGAGUAAUACAUCGGAACAUGUCCUGUAGUGGGGGAUAGCCCGGCGAAAGCCGGAUUAAUACCGCAUACGAUCUACGGAUGACAGCGGGGGACCUUCGGGCCUCGCGCUAUAGGGUUGGCCGAUGGCUGAUUAGCUCGUUGGUGGGGUAAAGGCCUACCAAGGCGACGAUCAGUAGCUGGUCGGAGAGGACGACCAGCCACACGGGGACGGAGACACGGCCCAGACUCCUACGGGAGGCAGCAGUGGGGAAUGUUGGACAAAGGGCGAAAGCCUGAUCCAGCAAUGCCGCGUGUGUGAAGAAGGCCUUCGGGUUGUAAAGCACUUUUGUCCGGAAAGAAAUCCUUGGCCCUAAUACGGUCGGGGGAUGACGGUACCGGAAGAAUAAGCACCGGCUAACUACGUG
rnacentral:rRNA from 1 species